UGGCCACUACCAGAUGGGAAGAGUGACUGUCUUGAAGAAACUGAAAUCCUCCUGAUGCAAUAGUGUCUUGACAAACAAGUGACUGCAAAUCAUGGAGACAGGAAUUGGACCUGAUGUAAUUAUAGAGAACUAUCAGGCACUCUACUAAGCUAUGAGGACAGACAUGUGAGCAAAUUUGUACCCUCAAGGAACUUACAUUAGAAGAAAGGAAAGACCACCGUAUAGAUAUGGUGGUAUAAUAUAGAAAGCUUUUCCUCAAAAUGGAAAUUGUGGAAGGAACUCAACAAUGGGGGAGAGGGCUGUAAGUACAGAAAGAAAAAAAAGUAUAAAGUUACAUGUCA